rnacentral:tRNA from 1 species
AUUUAUGUAGUUUAUUUAAAACAAAUUAUUUUCAAUAAUUAAAAAAAUCUAGUUUCUUAAAUU